rnacentral:rRNA from 1 species
CAAGUCGAGCGGCAGCACAAGGGAGUUUACUCCUGAGGUGGCGAGCGGCGGACGGGUGAGUAAUGCCUAGGGAUCUGCCCAGUCGAGGGGGAUAACAGUUGGAAACGACUGCUAAUACCGCAUACGCCCUACGGGGGAAAGGAGGGGACUUUCGGGCCUUCCGCGAUUGGAUGAACCUAGGUGGGAUUAGCUAGUUGGUGAGGUAAUGGCUCACCAAGGCGACGAUCCCUAGCUGUUCUGAGAGGAUGAUCAGCCACACUGGGACUGAGACACGGCCCAGACUCCUACGGGAGGCAGCAGUGGGGAAUAUUGCACAAUGGGGGAAACCCUGAUGCAGCCAUGCCGCGUGUGUGAAGAAGGCCUUCGGGUUGUAAAGCACUUUCAGUAGGGAGGAAAGGUUGUGUCUUAAUACGUUGCAUCUGUGACGUUACCUACAGAAGAAGGACCGGCUAACUCCGUGCAGC